AAAUCCGGUUCACUUUAACACUGAGGCGUGACGACGAGGCACUACGGUGCUGAAGCAACAAAUGCCCUGCUUCCAGGAAAAGCCUCUAAGCAUCAGGUAACAUCAAAUCGUACCCCAAACCGACACAGGUGGUCAGGUAGAGAAUACCAAGGCGCUUGAGAGAACUCGGGUGAAGGAACUAGGCAAAAUGGUGCCGUAACUUCGGGAGAAGGCACGCUGACACGUAGGUGAAGUGAUUUACUCAUGGAGCUGAAGUCAGUCGAAGAUACCAGCUGGCUGCAACUGUUUAUUAAAAACACAGCACUGUGCAAACACGAAAGUGGACGUAUACGGUGUGACGCCUGCCCGGUGCCGGAAGGUUAAUUGAUGGGGUCAGCGCAAGCGAAGCUCCUGAUCGAAGCCCCGGUAAACGGCGGCCGUAACUAUAACGGUCCUAAGGUAGCGAAAUUCCUUGUCGGGUAAGUUCCGACCUGCACGAAUGGCGUAAUGAUGGCCAGGCUGUCUCCACCCGAGACUCAGUGAAAUUGAACUCGCUGUGAAGAUGCAGUGUACCCGCGGCAAGACGGAAAGACCCCGUGAACCUUUACUAUAGCUUGACACUGAACAUUGAGCCUUGAUGUGUAGGAUAGGUGGGAGGCUUUGAAGUGUGGACGCCAGUCUGCAUGGAGCCGACCUUGAAAUACCACCCUUUAAUGUUUGAUGUUCUAACGUGGACCCGUUACCCGGGUUGCGGACAGUGUCUGGUGGGUAGUUUGACUGGGGCGGUCUCCUCCUAAAGAGUAACGGAGGAGCACGAAGGUUGGCUAAUCCUGGUCGGACAUCAGGAGGUUAGUGCAAUGGCAUAAGCCAGCUUGACUGCGAGCGUGACGGCGCGAGCAGGUGCGAAAGCAGGUCAUAGUGAUCCGGUGGUUCUGAAUGGAAGGGCCAUCGCUCAACGGAUAAAAGGUACUCCGGGGAUAACAGGCUGAUACCGCCCAAGAGUUCAUAUCGACGGCGGUGUUUGGCACCUCGAUGUCGGCUCAUCACAUCCUGGGGCUGAAGUAGGUCCCAAGGGUAUGGCUGUUCGCCAUUUAAAGUGGUACGCGAGCUGGGUUUAGAACGUCGUGAGACAGUUCGGUCCCUAUCUGCCGUGGGCGCUGGAGAACUGAGGGGGGCUGCUCCUAGUACGAGAGGACCGGAGUGGACGCAUCACUGGUGUUCGGGUUGUCAUGCCAAUGGCACUGCCCGGUAGCUAAAUGCGGAAGAGAUAAGUGCUGAAAGCAUCUAAGCACGAAACUUGCCCCGAGAUGAGUUCUCCCUGAGACUUAAAGUCUCCUGAAGGAACGUUGAAGACGACGACGUUGAUAGGCCGGGUGUGUAAGCGCAGCGAUGCGUUGAGCUAACCGGUACUAAUGAACCGUGAGGCUUAACCUUACAA
rnacentral:rRNA from 1 species